rnacentral:rRNA from 1 species
GACGUAGGGCGCGAGCGUUGUCCGGAUUUAUUGGGCGUAAAGAGCUCGUAGGCGGCUUGUCGCGUCGACCGUGAAACCUCACAGCUCAACUGUGAGCCUGCGGUCGAUACGGGCAGGCUAGAGUUCGGUAGGGGAGACCGGAAUUCCUGGUGUAGCGGUGAAAUGCGCAGAUAUCAGGAGGAACACCGGUGGCGAAGGCGGGUCUCUGGGCCGAUACUGACGCUGAGGAGCGAAAGCGUGGGGAGCGAACAGG